UCCCUGGUGGCCUAGUGGUUAAAGACUCGGCAUUGUCACUGCUGUGGCUUGGGUUGCUGCUGUGUCUCAGGUUCGAUCCCUGACCUGGGCC
rnacentral:tRNA from 1 species